UGUGUUAGUGGAAGCGUCUGGAAAGGCGCGCGAUACAGGGUGACAGCCCCGUACACAAAAGCGCACGUGCUGUGAGCUCGAUGAGUAGGGCGGGACACGUGGUAUCCUGUCUGAAUAUGGGGGGACCAUCCUCCAAGGCUAAAUACUCCUGACUGACCGAUAGUGAACCAGUACCGUGAGGGAAAGGCGAAAAGAACCCCGGCGAGGGGAGUGAAACAGAACCUGAAACCGUGUACGUACAAGCAGUGGGAGCCCCACCACCAAAGCGUUUCGCUUUGCGUGGUGCGCAAAAUGCGUAACGACAGCACGAUUGCGGUUAACGGAGCGUAAGCGACGUUCAACACAAGAAUCAGGCAGUGGAGCGUUUUGGGGUGGGGUGACUGCGUACCUUUUGUAUAAUGGGUCAGCGACUUAUAUUCUGUAGCAAGGUUAACCGAAUAGGGGAGCCGGAGGGAAACC
rnacentral:rRNA from 1 species